rnacentral:lncRNA from 1 species
UGAAAGGAUUGAUUCUGAAACAGCGAUGUUUCUCGCAAAUUAUACAAUCCGUUAUACAGUCAUAAAAAUCCCGGUUAUCUUUACUCACAGUUAUUUACAACCGUGGGAAUAGUUACUUGACAACUAUGGUCGAUCAACGACGUCAUUUUAUGUUAAUUCUGAUGUUUUCGAGAAGUCUGGAUUAUACCGUCCUCCGCGAUCUUCGAACAAAAUUUCACGACUAAAAAUUCUGCAAGCUGAGUUAUAAUGUCGCACAGAAGCGAGAAAUCAGCCUCCAACGUUUCAACGUUUCGCAUCAGCGAUCGUAGAAUCCUGAGAGCAAAGUAUACCUGUAUGUCAAGUAUGUAAUACACCGGAGUAGAUCCCGACAGAAGUAAGUUAGCACUUAGUGACACUAUCACGCCUAGCAUUAGCGUAGCGCUCAUUUAAUUAUAACAGCGGAAAAAUUCUUCACGUGGUUCACAGCUGAUAUUGUACAGAUGUCAUGUACGAAUCAUGACGUUCGCUACUGCGCGUGUACGUGUACAGUUCGGAACAGUGAUUCUUAGACGGAUAACUUUUUGGCAAGUCAGUUAUGUUGGCAAUGGAGAAUUAGCCCGCAGCGCCACCUCCGGCCGGCCACGAAACGGACUCAAUUAUCGUUACGUUGUGUUUACGAAGAUGCCUGUUUCACCGGCUGUCCGCUGGUGGCGCUGCGGGCUGAUUCUCCAUUGCCAACGUAACCGGCUUGACGAACAAAUCACUCGUCUCAGAAUCACUGUCGCAAAGUGUAUCCAAUGAAGAGGGCGGUUAGACGCGACGCAUCGAUC